rnacentral:rRNA from 1 species
AAAUUGAAGAGUUUGAUCAUGGCUCAGAUUGAACGCUGGCGGCAGGCCUAACACAUGCAAGUCGAGCGGUAGCACAGAGAGCUUGCUCUCGGGUGACGAGCGGCGGACGGGUGAGUAAUGUCUGGGAAACUGCCUGAUGGAGGGGAUAACUACUGGAAACGGUAGCUAAUACCGCAUAACGUCGCAAGACCAAAGUGGGGAUUCGGGCCUCAUGCCAUCAGAUGUGCCCAGAUGGGAUUAGCUAGUAGGUGGGGUAACGGCUCACCUAGGCGACGAUCCUAGCUGGUCUGAGAGGAUGACCAGCCACACUGGAACUGAGACACGGUCCAGACUCCUACGGGAGGCAGCAGUGGGGAAUAUUGCACAAUGGGCGCAAGCCUGAUGCAGCCAUGCCGCGUGUGUGAAGAAGGCCUUCGGGUUGUAAAGCACUUUCAGCGGGGAGGAAGGCGGUGAGGUUAAUAACCUCAUCGAUUGACGUUACCCGCAGAAGAAGCACCGGCUAACUCCGUGCCAGCAGCCGCGGUAAUACGGAGGUGCAAGCGUUAAUCGGAAUUACUGGGCGUAAAGCGCACGCAGGCGGUCUGUCAAGUCGGAUGUGAAAUCCCCGGGCUCAACCUGGGAACUGCAUUCGAAACUGGCAGGCUAGAGUCUUGUAGAGGGGGGUAGAAUUCCAGGUGUAGCGGUGAAAUGCGUAGAGAUCUGGAGGAAUACCGGUGGCGAAGGCGGCCCCCUGGACAAAGACUGACGCUCAGGUGCGAAAGCGUGGGGAGCAAACAGGAUUAGAUACCACGGUAGUCCACGCCGUAAACGAUGUCGAUUUGGAGGUUGUGCCCUUGAGGCGUGGCUUCCGGAGCUAACGCGUUAAAUCGACCGCCUGGGGAGUACGGCCGCAAGGUUAAAACUCAAAUGAAUUGACGGGGGCCCGCACAAGCGGUGGAGCAUGUGGUUUAAUUCGAUGCAACGCGAAGAACCUUACCUGGUCUUGACAUCCACAGAACUUUCCAGAGAUGGAUUGGUGCCUUCGGGAACUGUGAGACAGGUGCUGCAUGGCUGUCGUCAGCUCGUGUUGUGAAAUGUUGGGUUAAGUCCCGCAACGAGCGCAACCCUUAUCCUUUGUUGCCAGCGGUUAGGCCGGGAACUCAAAGGAGACUGCCAGUGAUAAACUGGAGGAAGGUGGGGAUGACGUCAAGUCAUCAUGGCCCUUACGACCAGGGCUACACACGUGCUACAAUGGCAUAUACAAAGAGAAGCGACCUCGCGAGAGCAAGCGGACCUCAUAAAGUAUGUCGUAGUCCGGAUUGGAGUCUGCAACUCGACUCCAUGAAGUCGGAAUCGCUAGUAAUCGUAGAUCAGAAUGCUACGGUGAAUACGUUCCCGGGCCUUGUACACACCGCCCGUCACACCAUGGGAGUGGGUUGCAAAAGAAGUAGGUAGCUUAACCUUCGGGAGGGCGCUUACCACUUUGUGAUUCAUGACUGGGGUGAAGUCGUAACAAGGUAACCGUAGGGGAACCUGCGGUUGGAUCACCUCCUUACCUUAAAGAA